GUAUUUUAAGUUUAGCUGAACACAUUACUUUCCUCACUGGGGUCCUGGUUAGUAAUGGCCGCAAACAAGUCUCUGGGCAUAGUGUAUGUAGUCAGAUGCUUGUACUGGUGGCCAUGAGGCAGAUCCAUGGAGACAGUC
ensembl:snoRNA SNORA70 Small nucleolar RNA SNORA70